rnacentral:rRNA from 1 species
UACGGAGGGGACUAGCGUUGUUCGGAAUUACUGGGCGUAAAGAGUUCGUAGGCGGACUAGCAAGUUAGAGGUGAAAUCCCAGGGCUCAACCUUGGAACUGCCUUUAAAACUGCUAGUCUAGAGACCGGAAGAGGUUAGGGGAAUACCUAGUGUAGAGGUGAAAUUCGUAGAUAUUAGGUGGAACACCAGUGGCGAAGGCGCCUAACUGGUCCGGUACUGACGCUGAGGAACGAAAGCGUGGGGAGCAAACAGGAUUAGAUACCCCCGUAGUCC